UACGAAGGGGGCUAGCGUUGUUCGGAAUUACUGGGCGUAAAGCGCACGUAGGCGGCUUUGUAAGUUAGAGGUGAAAGCCCGGGGCUCAACUCCGGAAUUGCCUUUAAGACUGCAUCGCUAGAAUUGUGGAGAGGUAAGUGGAAUUCCGAGUGUAGAGGUGAAAUUCGUAGAUAUUCGGAAGAAACACCAGUGGCGAAGGCGACUUACUGGACACAUAUUGACGCUGAGGUGCGAAAGCGUGGGGAGCAACAGGG
rnacentral:rRNA from 1 species